rnacentral:lncRNA from 1 species
GCGGGGAAAUAUCUUUGAUGUGAUGAAAUUCCGAUGGAGAUGUAUAAAAAUCAGACAGCUAUAACCGCCGUUACUCAAGUGUUCAACAUUUGUUAUAAUACCGAAAUGAUACUGGAGUUAUGAAGUAGAAGAAUAAUCAUCCCGAUACCGAAGAGUUCGACUUCCGACCCUCGAGACCCGAUGUAUUACAGAGCAAUAACAUUGGCGCCA